AAACUUUUGAAAAGCAGGUGACUUGAUGCUGCUCUCUAAUUGGCUUGCUUCAGAUUGUCCUUGGGGCACAGCUCAUUGCACCCCAGACACUCCCACUUUUGUUGUUAGUGAAUCAAUAUUGUUUUUAUAUUUUUUUUACCUCAUGUGAUUGGACCAUACUCAACGACUCUCUUUCACCCUCAACAGCGUGUCAGUUGACCGGCACUGCAAGAGAUUGUUAAUAAUCUAGAAGGCACAACAUUUCUUCCAGAUGAAAGACAAUUUGGUUUUGUCUUUAUAAAUGAAGAAAAAAAAGGAUAAUGGAGCUUGGACCAGAUCAAUCCAACUUACAAAUUCAGCAGCAGUCAGGUGAUCAUGGACAAGUUUACACCCGGGGUUUCUCCAGUUGGCGUUGGCUAGAUGUACGCAAAUUCACUGCUCACGCUGCCUGCCUGCUCACUCUCGGCUCACUUCCUGCUAUGCCCAGCCCCACCUUCCUCCUGGUUCACCGACUCUGCACUCGGCUCUCAAACCACUGACCCAAGUUUAAGCCUACUCAUGCGCAGUCUCCCACUCCCUUCAACUGAGGAUCCAACCCUCAUGCUUUGGACCCAUGUUCGAAUCCCGACCUCCACCACCCUAUUUCAACUCACCUGUCUCACACACCCUCACUCCCUCUUAAUAAAAGCCGGUUUAUCCUGAA